rnacentral:rRNA from 1 species
GGCCCCGCACAAGCAGCGGAGCGUGUGGUUUAAUUCGACGUAACACGAAGAACCUUACCGGGGUUUGACAUGUACAUGUAAUCUCGUGAAAGCGAGACCCCCCGCAAGGGGCGUGUACACAGGUGUUGCAUGGCUGUCGUCAGCUCGUGCCGUGAGGUGUUGGGUUAAGUCCCGCAACGAGCGCAACCCUUGUCGCCAGUUGAUCUCUCUGGCGAGACUGCCGAGUUUAACUCGGAGGAAGGCGGGGAUGACGUCAAGUCAGCAUGGCCCUUACAUCCCGGGCUACACACACGCUACAAUGGGUGGUACAGAGGGUUGCUAAACCGCGAGGUGGAGCCAAUCCCACAAAGCCAUCCUCAGUUCAGAUUGCAGUCUGCAACUCGACUGCAUGAAGGCGGAGUUGCUAGUAACCGCAGGUCAGCAUACUGCGGUGAAUACGUUCCCGGGGCUU